rnacentral:rRNA from 1 species
GGUUAAGCGACUAAGCGUACACGGUGGAUGCCCUGGCAGUCAGAGGCGAUGAAGGACGUGCUAAUCUGCGAUAAGCGUCGGUAAGGUGAUAUGAACCGUUAUAACCGGCGAUUUCCGAAUGGGGAAACCCAGUGUGAUUCGUCACACUAUCAUUAACUGAAUCCAUAGGUUAAUGAGGCGAACCGGGGGAACUGAAACAUCUAAGUACCCCGAGGAAAAGAAAUCAACCGAGAUUCCCCCAGUAGCGGCGAGCGAACGGGGAGCAGCCCAGAGCCUGAAUCAGUGUGUGUGUUAGUGGAAGCGUCUGGAAAGGCGCGCGAUACAGGGUGACAGCCCCGUACACAAAAAUGCACAUGCUGUGAGCUCGAUGAGUAGGGCGGGACACGUGGUAUCCUGUCUGAAUAUGGGGGGACCAUCCUCCAAGGCUAAAUACUCCUGACUGACCGAUAGUGAACCAGUACCGUGAGGGAAAGGCGAAAAGAACCCCGGCGAGGGGAGUGAAAAAGAACCUGAAACCGUGUACGUACAAGCAGUGGGAGCACGCUUAGGCGUGUGACUGCGUACCUUUUGUAUAAUGGGUCAGCGACUUAUAUUCUGUAGCAAGGUUAACCGAAUAGGGGAGCCGAAGGGAAACCGAGUCUUAACUGGGCGUUAAGUUGCAGGGUAUAGACCCGAAACCCGGUGAUCUAGCCAUGGGCAGGUUGAAGGUUGGGUAACACUAACUGGAGGACCGAACCGACUAAUGUUGAAAAAUUAGCGGAUGACUUGUGGCUGGGGGUGAAAGGCCAAUCAAACCGGGAGAUAGCUGGUUCUCCCCGAAAGCUAUUUAGGUAGCGCCUCGUGAAUUCAUCUCCGGGGGUAGAGCACUGUUUCGGCAAGGGGGUCAUCCCGACUUACCAACCCGAUGCAAACUGCGAAUACCGGAGAAUGUUAUCACGGGAGACACACGGCGGGUGCUAACGUCCGUCGUGAAGAGGGAAACAACCCAGACCGCCAGCUAAGGUCCCAAAGUCAUGGUUAAGUGGGAAACGAUGUGGGAAGGCCCAGACAGCCAGGAUGUUGGCUUAGAAGCAGCCAUCAUUUAAAGAAAGCGUAAUAGCUCACUGGUCGAGUCGGCCUGCGCGGAAGAUGUAACGGGGCUAAACCAUGCACCGAAGCUGCGGCAGCGACGCUGAUGCGUUGUUGGGUAGGGGAGCGUUCUGUAAGCCUGUGAAGGUGUACUGUGAGGUAUGCUGGAGGUAUCAGAAGUGCGAAUGCUGACAUAAGUAACGAUAAAGCGGGUGAAAAGCCCGCUCGCCGGAAGACCAAGGGUUCCUGUCCAACGUUAAUCGGGGCAGGGUGAGUCGACCCCUAAGGCGAGGCCGAAAGGCGUAGUCGAUGGGAAACAGGUUAAUAUUCCUGUACUUGGUGUUACUGCGAAGGGGGGACGGAGAAGGCUAUGUUGGCCGGGCGACGGUUGUCCCGGUUUAAGCGUGUAGGCUGGUUUUCCAGGCAAAUCCGGAAAAUCAAGGCUGAGGCGUGAUGACGAGGCACUACGGUGCUGAAGCAACAAAUGCCCUGCUUCCAGGAAAAGCCUCUAAGCAUCAGGUAACAUCAAAUCGUACCCCAAACCGACACAGGUGGUCAGGUAGAGAAUACCAAGGCGCUUGAGAGAACUCGGGUGAAGGAACUAGGCAAAAUGGUGCCGUAACUUCGGGAGAAGGCACGCUGAUAUGUAGGUGAAGUCCCUUGCGGAUGGAGCUGAAAUCAGUCGAAGAUACCAGCUGGCUGCAACUGUUUAUUAAAAACACAGCACUGUGCAAACACGAAAGUGGACGUAUACGGUGUGACGCCUGCCCGGUGCCGGAAGGUUAAUUGAUGGGGUCAGCGCAAGCGAAGCUCUUGAUCGAAGCCCCGGUAAACGGCGGCCGUAACUAUAACGGUCCUAAGGUAGCGAAAUUCCUUGUCGGGUAAGUUCCGACCUGCACGAAUGGCGUAAUGAUGGCCAGGCUGUCUCCACCCGAGACUCAGUGAAAUUGAACUCGCUGUGAAGAUGCAGUGUACCCGCGGCAAGACGGAAAGACCCCGUGAACCUUUACUAUAGCUUGACACUGAACAUUGAGCCUUGAUGUGUAGGAUAGGUGGGAGGCUUUGAAGUGUGGACGCCAGUCUGCAUGGAGCCGACCUUGAAAUACCACCCUUUAAUGUUUGAUGUUCUAACGUUGACCCGUAAUCCGGGUUGCGGACAGUGUCUGGUGGGUAGUUUGACUGGGGCGGUCUCCUCCUAAAGAGUAACGGAGGAGCACGAAGGUUGGCUAAUCCUGGUCGGACAUCAGGAGGUUAGUGCAAUGGCAUAAGCCAGCUUGACUGCGAGCGUGACGGCGCGAGCAGGUGCGAAAGCAGGUCAUAGUGAUCCGGUGGUUCUGAAUGGAAGGGCCAUCGCUCAACGGAUAAAAGGUACUCCGGGGAUAACAGGCUGAUACCGCCCAAGAGUUCAUAUCGACGGCGGUGUUUGGCACCUCGAUGUCGGCUCAUCACAUCCUGGGGCUGAAGUAGGUCCCAAGGGUAUGGCUGUUCGCCAUUUAAAGUGGUACGCGAGCUGGGUUUAGAACGUCGUGAGACAGUUCGGUCCCUAUCUGCCGUGGGCGCUGGAGAACUGAGGGGGGCUGCUCCUAGUACGAGAGGACCGGAGUGGACGCAUCACUGGUGUUCGGGUUGUCAUGCCAAUGGCACUGCCCGGUAGCUAAAUGCGGAAGAGAUAAGUGCUGAAAGCAUCUAAGCACGAAACUUGCCCCGAGAUGAGUUCUCCCUGACUCCUUGAGAGUCCUGAAGGAACGUUGAAGACGACGACGUUGAUAGGCCGGGUGUGUAAGCGCAGCGAUGCGUUGAGCUAACCGGUACUAAUGAACCGUGAGGCUUAACCUU